rnacentral:rRNA from 1 species
GACGAACGCUGGCGGCGUGCCUAAUACAUGCAAGUUGAGCGCUGAAGGUUGGUACUUGUACCAACUGGAUGAGCAGCGAACGGGUGAGUAACGCGUGGGGAAUCUGCCUUUGAGCGGGGGACAACAUUUGGAAACGAAUGCUAAUACCGCAUAAAAACUUUAAACACAAGUUUUAAGUUUGAAAGAUGCAAUUGCAUCACUCAAAGAUGAUCCCGCGUUGUAUUAGCUAGUUGGUGAGGGAAAGGCUCACCAAGGCGAUGAUACAUAGCCGACCUGAGAGGGUGAUCGGCCACAUUGGGACUGAGACACCGCCCAAACUUCUUCGGGAGGCAGCAGUAAGGAAUCUUCGGCAAUGGACGAAAGUCUGACCGGGCAACGCCGCGUGAGUGAAGAAGGUUUUCCGAUCGUAAAACUCUGUUGGUAGGGAAGAACGUUGGUGGGAGUUGAAAGCUCAUCAAGUGACGGUAACUACCCAGAAAGGGACGGCUAACUACGUG